GGAAUUACUGGGCGUAAAGCGUGCGUAGGUGGUUUGUUAAGUCAGAUGUGAAAGCCCCGGGCUCAACCUGGGAACUGCAUUUGAAACUGGCAAACUAGAGUAUAGGAGAGGAAAGUGGAAUUUCUGGUGUGGCGGUGAAAUGCGUAGAUAUCAGAAGGAACAUCAAUGGCGAAGGCAGCUUUCUGGACUAAUACUGACACUGAGGUACGAAAGCGUGGGUAGCAAACAGGAUUAGAUACCCUGGUAGUCCACGCCGUAAACGAUGACAACUAGCCGUUGGGGGGAUUUACCCCUUAGUGGCGAAGCUAACGCGUUAAGUUGUCCGCCUGGGGAGUACGGCCGCAAGGUUAAAACUCAAAGGAAUUGACGGGGACCCGCACAAGCGGUGGAGCAUGUGGUUUAAUUCGAUGCAACGCGAAGAACCUUACCUGGUCUUGACAUACACGGAACUUUCCAGAGAUGGAUUGGUGCCUUCGGGAACCGUGAUACAGGUGCUGCAUGGCUGUCGUCAGCUCGUGUCGUGAGAUGUUGGGUUAAGUCCCGUAACGAGCGCAACCCCUAUCCUUAUUUGCCAGCACAUCAUGGUGGGAACUAUAAGGAGACUGCCGGUGAUAAACCGGAGGAAGGCGGGGACGACGUCAAGUCAUCAUGGCCCUUACGACCAGGGCUACACACGUGCUACAAUGGGAAGAACAAAGAGUUGCGAAGCCGCGAGGUGUAGCUAAUCUCACAAAUCUUUUCGUAGUCCGGAUCGGAGUCUGCAACUCGACUCCGUGAAGUCGGAAUCGCUAGUAAUCGUAGAUCAGAACGCUACGGUGAAUACGUCCCCGGGUCUUGUACACACCGCCCGUCAUACCAUGGGAGUGGGUUGCACCGGAAGUAGCUAGUCUAACUGUUACAGAGGACGGU
rnacentral:rRNA from 1 species